rnacentral:rRNA from 1 species
UACGUAGGUGGCAAACGUUGUCCGGAAUUAUUGGGCGUAAAGCGCGCGCAGGCGGUCCUUUAAGUCUGAUGUGAAAGCCCCGGGCUUAACCCGGGAAUGGCAUUGAAUACUGCUGAUCUGGAGGAUCGGAGGGGGGACUGGAAUUCUUGGUGUAGCAGUGAAAUGCGUAGAUAUCAAGAGGAACACCAGUGGCGAAGGCGAGUCCCUGGACGAUACCUGACACUGAGGCACGAAAGCCAAGGGAGCAAACAGG